rnacentral:rRNA from 1 species
ACCAAAGAUUAAGCCAUGCAUGUUCUUAAGUAUUAAGCAACUUGUACUGUGAAACUGCGAAUGGCUCAUUAAAUCAGUUAUCGUUUAUUUGAUAGUACCUUACUACAUGGAUACCUGUGGUAAUUCUAGAGCUAAUACAUGCUAAAAACCCCGACUUCAGGAAGGGGUGUAUUUAUUAGAUAAAAAACCAACGCCCUUCGGGGCUCCUUGGUGAAUCAUAAUAACUUAACGAAUCGCAUGGCCUUGCGCCGGCGAUGGUUCAUUCAAAUUUCUGCCCUAUCAACUUUCGAUGGUAGGAUAGUGGCCUACCAUGGUGGCAACGGGUAACGGGGAAUUAGGGUUCGAUUCCGGAGAGGGAGCCUGAGAAACGGCUACCACAUCCAAGGAAGGCAGCAGGCGCGCAAAUUACCCAAUCCCGAUACGGGGAGGUAGUGACAAUAAAUACUGAUACGGGGCUCUUUUGGGUCUCGUAAUUGGAAUGAGAACAAUUUAAAUCCCUUAACGAGGAACAAUUGGAGGGCAAGUCUGGUGCCAGCAGCCGCGGUAAUUCCAGCUCCAAUAGCGUAUAUUAAAGUUGUUGCAGUUAAAAAGCUCGUAGUUGAACCUUGGGUCUGGCUGGCCGGUCCGCCUCACCGCGAGUACUGGUCCGGCUGGACCUUUCCUUCUGGGGAACCUCAUGGCCUUCACUGGCUGUGGGGGGAACCAGGACUUUUACUGUGAAAAAAUUAGAGUGUUCAAAGCAGGCCUUUGCUCGAAUACAUUAGCAUGGAAUAAUAGAAUAGGACGUGUGGUUCUAUUUUGUUGGUUUCUAGGACCGCCGUAAUGAUUAAUAGGGAUAGUCGGGGGCGUCAGUAUUCAGCUGUCAGAGGUGAAAUUCUUGGAUUUGCUGAAGACUAACUACUGCGAAAGCAUUCGCCAAGGAUGUUUUCAUUAAUCAGGGAACGAAAGUUAGGGGAUCGAAGACGAUCAGAUACCGUCGUAGUCUUAACCAUAAACUAUGCCGACUAGGGAUCGGACGGGAUUCUAUAAUGACCCGUUCGGCACCUUACGAGAAAUCAAAGUUGGUAGUCAGAUGCGAGUUAUCGGUG